rnacentral:rRNA from 1 species
UACGUAGGGUGCGAGCGUUGUCCGGAAUUAUUGGGCGUAAAGAGCUCGUAGGCGGCUUGUCGCGUCGGAUGUGAAAGCCCGGGGCUUAACUCCGGGUCUGCAUUCGAUACGGGCAGGCUAGAGUUCGGUAGGGGAGAUCGGAAUUCCUGGUGUAGCGGUGAAAUGCGCAGAUAUCAGGAGGAACACCGGUGGCGAAGGCGGAUCUCUGGGCCGAUACUGACGCUGAGAGGCGAAAGCCAGGGGAGCGAACGGG